rnacentral:rRNA from 1 species
UACGAAGGGGGCUAGCGUUGCUCGGAAUCACUGGGCGUAAAGCGCACGUAGGCGGCUUUGUAAGUUAGAGGUGAAAGCCCGGGGCUCAACUCCGGAAUUGCCUUUAAGACUGCAUCGCUAGAAUUGUGGAGAGGUAAGUGGAAUUCCGAGUGUAGAGGUGAAAUUCGUAGAUAUUCGGAAGAACACCAGUGGCGAAGGACGACU